CGGGACGGGUGAGUAAUGUCUGGGAAACUGCCUGAUGGAGGGGGGUAACUACUGGAAACGGUAGCUAAUACCGCAUAAUGUCGCAAGACCAAAGAGGGGGACCUUCGGGCCUCUUGCCAUCGGAUGUGCCCAGAUGGGAUUAGCUUGUUGGUGGGGUAACGGCUCACCAAGGCGACGAUCCCUAGCUGGUCUGAGAGGAUGACCAGCCACACUGGAACUGAGACACGGUCCAG
rnacentral:rRNA from 1 species